rnacentral:lncRNA from 1 species
AAAGAUUGGAUUUUGUUGAUGUGGGGUUGACGAGAUUUGGAUUUGAUACGUGAAGAUCGAGGAUCGAGAGAAGAAGGUUGAGGUUGAUGAUUUUGGGAGGUAGCGUUGACACAUUUGAGGAACUUUUGAGAACCCCAUUUUAAGCAAGGUAAGUUGAAGUUAUGAAGUGAUUUUGAUCUUUCACUUCCCAUAUCAAUGAACAAUGAUUGAUCACCUUGUUGUUAUUGUUGUUGUGAUUGUUCUACAGUGUGUAUGGGAAACAGAGAAUUGAAAUUCGUUGAGUUUAAGGUGUAAAAUUAUGUUUUUUCUGAGUGUUUAAGUUUGUGUCUGAGGAUGAGUGGUGUAUUAUAGUUUGAUAAGAUGAAUAAUAAUUGUGGGGAAGAAGAUUGAAUUGCAAAGUGAGAGAGAGAGAGGAGGAGGAGGUGUUUGUUUGGUUUAUGUAUGGAAGCAAUCAUGUCACGUAGGAAUGAAAUAAAAAAGAAAUUUUUUAUUAAUAUUCCUAUUUUUAUCAUAUCUUUUAUUAGUUCGGUACAUAAUUUAUGACAUUAUUUAAAAUAAUAUAUGAUUGUCCAUCAUGUUAACAAUGACAGCUACCUGAGACCAGUUUAAGGUUCAGAUAAAUAUUUUGUAUUUGUUUUACUAUGACAAUAAUAAUAAUAUGAAAAAAAUAAUUUCAACCUUCGUAGGAAUUUGCUUCACCAAAAUUCAGUGUAAUAUCUUAGUUUGGUCAUUUUCUUUCACCCGAACUUAAUCCAGUUAUGACCUGAUAAAAGCAUGUUUGGUUGAAAUGAGAGUAAAGAGAAGAGAUUUUGAAUCCACCUAUGUUGGAGAAGAGCUAAAGUUGAGAGAUAGUUUUAGCCGAAUUUGGAUUUUCUAAAUAAAGUUUGGUAGCCUUAUGGACUUGUUCCAUGAUUAGGAACAACUUUUUAUUUCUCUUUAUCGAUUAAUUAAACAUUUAAGAAAUGAGUGAAGUUAUGAAGUCAUCAAAAUUUGAAACAAGAGAAUUAUAUAUAGGUAGUCAAACUCGGAAGAAUUAAUUGAAUACAUGCUUACAUAAGUCAAAUUUGAAUUUUUCUAAGUUAUAUAAAUUGGAAGAUUGAUUAAAUGGUUUAAUAGUUAUCCACAAAUUAUGGAAGAGUUUUUUUACAUUAUCCCACUGAGAGACAAAUACGUUUUGAAUUUCUUAAGUUACAUCUCCAGUUAAUCAAAUGAGGAAGAAUUCAAGGGGUUGAGAUUUAACACGAGUAUUUUGAUAAUAUCACCUAUCUUUUUCAUUAAAUAUUCUAAUCAAAUGUCAACAAGAUUAUCUAAUGCACUCUUUAUUUAAUUAUCUAAUAUUCACAAUUAAAGCACUCAAGACAUGGUUGGAGUUAUAAAUAAUCAAAACAUCUUAUAACUACUUAAUAUAAUGUAAUUUCUUAUUACCUAUUUUACCCUUCUAAUUAGUCAUUACUACAAUGUUUUUAUAUUUAACAGAUUUUAAGUCACUGCAGCAAAUUCUUGAGUGGCAACACAACCAUAGAAGGUGUUUUCUGAAAAAACUUCAAACUAUUUUCACCAGUAAAACAUCUUUGCAAAGUUUACCUAUCUAAUCCUUUUUGAGGCAACUAGACUUAUGGCAUCUCUUUCUUGAUCAACUUCUAUAAUGGCACAAAAUCUGUUGCCUUCCAAAUCCAAUAAGUCAACCAAUGUUACAAGAAUAUAACAAAACAAAAACAAAAUAAUAUCAUUUAAUAGUCAUUGAUGACAGUGAAUUGUCUUUCAUUUGCUUAUUUGUUCUAGAGCUACAUUUGGAUUUUGUGCCGUUACAAAUUUCCCUGCUAGGUUAGAAAUGGGAAAUCAGUAACAAAAAAUGGAAAAGUUUUGUGAAAUGUAUUAUACAUCAUAACUCUAACACUUGCCAUUCAUUUCAACUGAUCAACUGAACCAAUUCAUUAUUUUUUUCAAAUAAAGGAAACAGACCACUUUUCACUAUACUUCUAUCAAAAUAAAGAUAGAGCACAUAUUAUUAUUCUUAUGAUAAGGAAAUCUGUAUAUGCCAAUUUUUCUCUAUCUUUAUACUGAUAAAAUUACUGUCCUGUAUUAACAUACUAAACACGAAUAGAUAAUACAUAACUUCCUGUAUUAACAUACUAAUAUAUGAUUAAAUGCAUUCUAAUCAUGGACAUCAUAGCCUCAUGAAGCAGAUUCACACAAAUCCUACAGAAAAAAUAAAGUCAACAACGCUUGUUAGUGUAACAUUCAUUAUUCACGAUUAUGCAAAUAAUGAAUAAUUUAUUCUGUGAUGGAUAGACAGCUUCAUGGCUCCAAAUUUUGUGGAACACAAAAACAUUACUACAAUACACAAAGAUCACCUUCUUGAAUGGUAUAGAUUAAAUAAACAACUGAGAAGCUGAAAAUUGCUCUAUCCAGGACAGCAGGAUUCUACUAAUUUGAAGCUUUAUUGAAGAUUUUCAAAGGAGUGCAAUGAAAGUUGAUCUAUGGAAUCUGAAAGGUACUACAUUCAGAUAACUAAACAGAAAUUCAAAAUGUCAUGAUUAUUGAAUCAAACUUUUGAUUUACAUGGAUGAUUUGGUGAUUACAAUUAUUUAUGUCACAAUGUGCAAUAAGUCAGGAAAUAAAAUAUUUGGGACUUCCAGAAUCCAGUUUUGCUAUUCAUUUCAGCCCCUGCAUGAUAAUCAUAAUUUCUAGUUGACCCAAUUGAAUUUCAAAGCUACAAUACAUAGAGAGAACAACAAGUGCUAAACUUCACUUCAUUCAGGAACAUCAUGCACUUUGUAUGACUCUGCAGUAACCUCUGUCAGCCACAACCCAGGAAAAAGUGUCUGCAAAAGAAAAGAAAAAAAAGAGAGAGUCAUGUAAAAUGUAAACACAAGUUUCUACACAUGAGUAAGUGCAAAUAAAUGAAAUACUAUUUUCACAAUUACCCUCACAACAAUUUGAAACAAGAAAAGAAAACGAAAACAAUGUACAUCCUUACAACUAUUAUCAGUGCUAAAUAGUGAUCUGUAAAAGCAAUUAAGGCAGCAUAACAUAGUAGUUUUGGUAUUCUCUGCAACUGUAUCACGACUGCAAUGGCAGCCACAUCUCCCCAGUUCACAAUUGCAGUGAACACAACCACAAUUAAAUAUUAUUAUCGAUUUAUCAGGAAUAAAUAUCAUAAGGAAAUGAAAGUAGAAAACAAACAAAAUGCCACCCAAAAUAGCAACGAAAGUUCAGUUUUCACUAACCUAUACUCCAUUAACCAAUCAUUUUAUGCCAUUUUUCUUACAUUUUAAAGCAUCGAAUUGCAAAAAACAAGAUUUUCAAUUCAUUGAUAUAAUGAGUUAGUUACUUACAUCCAAUUGCCUCUGCACAAUCCUUGGCCUCUUCUUAGGCCUUCUGGGAGGCUUGGUCCCAACCAAAGCCAUGAAAUCAUGUUCCACCUCUUCCUUGAACAGAGAAACUUUAAACUCAGCUUUCUCACUCUCAUUGAUCUUCUUCUUGUUCUUCUUCUUAUCCUGCUUCACCGGUGAAGAAGCAAUACCCACAUCAAAAAAGUUGCAAUUUUCUUCAUUGGGUGUUGUUGAUUGUGGUGCCUUACACGCAGCUCUUCUUGCCCUCAAAUUCCAAGGCCUCGCAUUUGCAAUGGCACCACCUUCGUCCCCUCCAUCCUCCAAAAUCGAAACUUUGAGCUUCUCAGUGGGAAAAGAUUGGAUUUUGUUGAUGUGGGGUUGACGAGAUUUGGAUUUGAUACGUGAAGAUCGAGGAUCGAGAGAAGAAGGUUGAGGUUGAUGAUUUUGGGAGGUAGCGUUGACACAUUUGAGGAACUUUUGAGAACCCCAUUUUAAGCAAGGUAAGUUGAAGUUAUGAAGUGAUUUUGAUCUUUCACUUCCCAUAUCAAUGAACAAUGAUUGAUCACCUUGUUGUUAUUGUUGUUG